UUCCCAAGCAGGUGAGAGU
rnacentral:misc_RNA from 1 species